GAUGAAGAACGCAGCGAAAUGCGAUAAGUAAUGUGAAUUGCAGAAUUCAGUGAAUCAUCGAAUCUUUGAACGCACAUUGCGCCCGCCAGUAUUCUGGCGGGCAUGCCUGUUCGAGCGUCAUUUCAACCAUCAAGCCCCCGGCUUGUGUUGGGGACCUGCGGCUGCCGCAGGCCCUGAAAACCAGUGGCGGGCUCGCUAGUCACUCCGAGCGUAGUAGUUACAUCUCGCUCAGGGCGUGCUGCGGGUUCCGGCCGUUAAAAGCCUUAUUUACCCAAGGUUGACCUCGGAUCAGGUAGGAAGACCCGCUGAACUUAAGCAUAUCAAUAAGCGGGGA
rnacentral:misc_RNA from 1 species